rnacentral:tRNA from 1 species
GCGGAAGUGGUGUAAUGGUAGCACGGCUGGCAUCCAGUCAGCAGGUCAAGGUUCAACUCCUUACUUCCGCU